rnacentral:rRNA from 1 species
AGUGAACGCUGGCGGUAGGCCUAACACAUGCAAGUCGAACGGCAGCACAGUAAGAGCUUGCUCUUACGGGUGGCGAGUGGCGGACGGGUGAGGAAUACAUCGGAAUCUACUUUUUCGUGGGGGAUAACGUAGGGAAACUUACGCUAAUACCGCAUACGACCUACGGGUGAAAGCAGGGGAUCUUCGGACCUUGCGCGAUUGAAUGAGCCGAUGUCGGAUUAGCUAGUUGGCGGGGUAAAGGCCCACCAAGGCGACGAUCCGUAGCUGGUCUGAGAGGAUGAUCAGCCACACUGGAACUGAGACACGGUCCAGACUCCUACGGGAGGCAGCAGUGGGGAAUAUUGGACAAUGGGCGAAAGCCUGAUCCAGCAAUACCGCGUGGGUGAAGAAGGCCUUCGGGUUGUAAAGCCCUUUUGUUGGGAAAGAAAAGCAGCAGGAUAAUACCCCGCUGUUCUGACGGUACCCAAAGAAUAAGCACCGGCUAACUUCGUG